rnacentral:tRNA from 1 species
UCACUAAGUAGUAUUUAGCCUUGGAGGAUGGUCCCUCCUGCUUCCCACAGGGUUUCACGUGUCCCGUGGUACUCUGGAUCACAUCUAAAGUCUUCUCGUUUCAACUACGUGGCUAUUACACUUUAUAGCGGAGCUUUCCAACUCUCUUCGUUUACGAUGACCUCUUGUUGAUGAUGUGUCCGCAACCCCAGCAAAGAAAACUUCACUGGUUUGGGCUAUUCCGCGUUCGCUCGCCGCUACUUACGGAAUCGAAUUU